rnacentral:rRNA from 1 species
AUUGAACGCUGGCGGAAUGCUUUACACAUGCAAGUCGAACGGUAGAGGGGGCAACCCCUCGAGAGUGGCGAACGGGUGAGUAAUAUAUCGGAACGUGCCCAGUCGUGGGGGAUAACGUAGCGAAAGUUACGCUAAUACCGCAUACGAUCUAAGGAUGAAAGCGGGGGAUCGCAAGACCUCGCGCGAUUGGAGCGGCCGAUAUCAGAUUAGGUAGUUGGUGGGGUAAAGGCUCACCAAGCCAACGAUCUGUAGCUGGUCUGAGAGGACGGCCAGCCACACUGGAACGGAGACGCGGUCCAGACUCCUACGGGAGGCAGCAGUGGGGAAUUUUGGACAAUGGACGCAAGUCUGAUCCAGCCAUUCCGCGUGCAGGAUGAAGGCCCUCGGGUUGUAAACUGCUUUUGUACGGAACGAAAAGGUCUCUCUUAAUACGGGGGGCUCAUGACGGUACCGUAAGAAUAAGCACCGGCUAACUACGUGCCAGCCGCCGCGUAA